GACGAACACUGGCGGUGUGCUUCACACAUGCAAGUCGAACGAGGUAGCAAUACCUAGUGGCGGACGGGUGAGUAACGCGUGGGAAUCUGCCUUUAGAUGGGGGAUAACGGGUCGAAAGACUCGCUAAUACCGCAUAUGACGAAAGUUGAAAGGAGUAAUCCGUCUAAAGAUGAGCCCGCGUCCGAUUAGCUAGUUGGUAGAGUAAAAGCCUACCAAGGCGACGAUCGGUAGCUGGUCUGAGAGGAUGAUCAGCCACAAUGGGACUAGAAGACACGGCCCAUACUCCUACGGAGGCAGCAGUGGGAAUUUUAC
rnacentral:rRNA from 1 species